AGAGGAGAAGAUCAGCCUGCA
rnacentral:miRNA from 1 species